ensembl:lncRNA
GGCAUUCCUUUAGGGCAUUGGAACACUCAUAUAACAACAAGACUCUGGCUGUGCUAGUUAGUCAUCGAGCUGUCAUCAACUCUGAUGACUCCUUUCUGUUAUUGAAUAUCAUGGAUCAGUGUGUCUGAAGGUAUCAAAACCCUGAGUGCUCAGCAUCUGCCACAUAUUUUAAGAUCAAAGUCCCUUUUGCUAAUGUGCCUGGAUCAAUGAUAGACUUCAAAUAUGGGUCUUGCUGGAAUAUGAACAAAUUGAGUGAUGAAAUCAUUUGUCAGCUAAGGUUCCUCCCAGGGACCAUGCUAGGCAAAAAUGUAGAGGGAGCUCAGUUGGUCUAGUAGCAGUACCAUACAGGACUAAAGGAGUCCUGAUUGCAUACAUCAGGGAAAAUGAGCUCCACAGUGGUCUAUAAAUGUCUGAUUUAGGGAUGACAUGGCAACUCUUUGAGUGCUUGGCUGAUAGCAUCCAUUCACUCAUAGUAGUCAUACUCUGAAGAACAAGCACAUGAGAAGUGGGACCAGGAAAUUUGUUUUUGUCUACCCUUGAGCUUUUCACAUGAUUUCCUUAGAUACUACCCUCUUGUGAGUAAGGAGUAGUCUACUGAAGUCAAUUACAUAGUCAGUUCAAAAGAUGUUAUGUCUUUACUUGUCAGUUUUUAGAUAAAGCAAGUAUGUGGAAAUUUAAAAGUAGUUUCUGUCAAUAGGAAUAUCUUAGAGCAUAUUUUGCUGUGAAUGUUAGCUCAGUCACAAGAAUUCAUACAGUUUUUUCCCUCUCACAUAAAGAGAAAUGUUCUAGACAUUUGCAUGAUGGAUUCAAGUAUAUUGGGCACUAAAUAUUUUUAAAUUGUGAAAUUCUUGCAUUUCCAAUUCUUGGCAUUUUAUUGGCUAAUAUGCAUAUUCUAAGAACCUGUUUCCUAUGUGUUUUAAGGGAGAUCUCAAUUUUAAUGUGUGAUGCUGAUGGUCUUUUGGAGAAAGUUUGACUAGGUCUUAGAACAAAUGACUUUCUAUAUUCUCCUGUUUAAUGGAACAAAUGUAUUUUUAUUCUUGUCAUGCAGGUGGUCAGCAAAUGUAUAUAAUUAAUUCCUUAUAAUCUAUUAUCAACUAAUAUUUAAUUUGGAAGGCAUUUUCCCCUCAACUCCUCUAAAUACCUCUGCAAUUUGCAAGUUAAAAGUAAUAUUGGAGUUACAUGAAAUUCUUACCACAUCACCAAAGAAGAGUUACUUUUGUCACUUCUACUUGCUCCCUUAUCUGAAAAGAAACAUAAUGAUGCAUUCUCAAGAAUUUCUGCAUAUUCUUUGUCUUCCUACUGAUGCCUCAUAUAGGAAUUAGGCAUGGAGGUGAUGACAAGGCUGUUCCUCACCCAUAUGGCAGACAGAAGUUGUUUCUACUGAGGGGCAUGCUUGCACAAAUGUCACUGAAUCCUCAGCAAUAUGGCCUGUUUCAUUUCCAUAAUUAUUGUGCCUGUGUGAGCCUUGCCUGCAUUGCUGUGACCACACUGUGUAGGCUCUGAUGUGGCAUAAUCCUGUGCAUCCUCUGCAGAUUGCCAGGUUCCUGACCUCAAACGGAAAGGUAAAGUCCUACUGGAAGUUAUAUAGAACAAAAGAGACAUUUUGCUGCUUGGAAUUUUCACUGCCACCCCCAGAGACGUGCUAUUUUUGUCACUUGUACCAUCUUCUUUCUCUGGGAAAAAUGAGAACAAGGCACUCCAGAGGUUGGCGUGGACCAAAAACUGGGUUUCAUUUGGACGAGUUUAUUCUUUCCUCUUGAGAUAAAACUAUGAAGGAAAGUAUUGGGAAUAAUUCGGCCUCGCAUCUUCAAAGGCCUGUGUGAAUUCUCAGAACGGCAAGCAUUUUAUUCUGAGAAUACUGGCAUUCUUUUAAAUAGCUGCAAUGUCCCAGUGACAAUGAGAGUCUGUCCAGGUGACAGAGCUUAGAAGGGAAGGGAAACCAUCUAUGCUUUUGUCUUAACUCUCAAAUGCCAGCUCUGCAGAAAGUGACAACUUCUCUGUAAGACCCUUCCUACUUGUGGUCCUUUGGACAUCCUUGAAGGAGAUGACUUCUUGGGAACCCUUUUGAGAAUGAAUGACAUCAGCAAAUCCCUAAACAAGACUCUUCAUACAGAGCAUUUCAUCUACCUAUUGUCCAAGGGCUGCCCUCUGAAGGUGAUGGCCACAAAGAUGAGGUGGAUUUGUUACUCUGGAUACCAUUGCUUCUACCACCAGCUUCUCCAAAUCUACGACAGUCUUCCUCAGGCAUGGAAACUCUUCUCUUUCCUGUGUUGCAGUGGAUACCUCCUGCAGAUAAGAAAUGCUUAACUGAGAAAUGCUCAUGUUGGGAUAUCAUCGAUGAGACUUUAAUUUGGGCAUGGUGACUGUUUCCCUUGCUUCCACUUGACUCAAUCCCAGGAGCCUCAGUAGAGGAAAUAUUAUUGCACAAGAAACUCAAAAUGGUGGAAUUGCUCAGUGCUCCCAUAAAAAUACAUUUAUAAAUUUCAUUUGCCAUGUGGUAAAUUUAAAGAAUAAGAUCUAUUUUUUUUCAAAAAUCAAAGCAUAUCUAAAAUAUCUAACAUAUAAAUUAAGCACCCUCCUUUCUCCUAAUACUAUCUCCCAAAGUUUUUCUCUACUAAGGGAGUUGUGUGCAUUCUUUAAGUGGAUAGAUGCGCACACACACACGUUAUUUUUAGGGGGUUCUGGAAUUGGAGCUAUAUUGUACACAUUAUUCUGCAAAUUGCCUCAUUUAACAAUUUUUUCAAUGCCCUUUUUCUGUUUCACUACUACAUAUCUGUGUCAUUUGUUGAAUGACUGCAUGACUGUUUUGUACAUGAAAUAUAAUUAAACGUUUUAAGCACUUAUUCAUAGAUAUUUAUGUUAGCACCAAAUUUCUGUGCAAUGAACCUCCCUAUAUAUCAAUAAUUUAUAUUUGUCUACUAUAUCAUAAUAAAUUACAGUCGAAAUACUGGGAUUAAGUAUAUGCACAUUUCAAAUUUUGAAAAUAAUCACAAGAUUUCCUUAGAAAUAUGGUAACAUCUUUAUCCUUAAAUGGCAAUGAAUGAAUUUGCCAGCUUUCCCACAACCUCACAGAUAAUGAAUUUUAUGAGUAUUUAAAAUCUUUGCCAGUGUGAUAGCCCAAACUAUUGUCUUAAAUUGUAUUUCUUUUGUUUUUGAUCAUUUUUCAUGUGUUUAUUAGCCAUCUAUAUUUAAAAUUUUUCUCUUUAUGUCCAAUUUUGGGGCUGGGGGAGGUUUUAGUCUCUUGCUGAUUUCAGAGAGCUCAUUUAUUAUUGAGGGAGUAAGCUUUUGGAUUGUCAAGCAUUACAGAUAUUUUUAACACCUUUAAACUUCAUUUUUGUUAUAAGAAUGUAUGAUUGUUAUAUGUCCAAGUAUAACCAUGUUUGCUUCUAUGGCUUCUGAGUUUCAUGUCAUUUUGGAAAAAUAUUUAUACUGAUCCCAUAAAACUCUUCACCUAUGUUAA